rnacentral:rRNA from 1 species
UACAGAGGGUGCGAGCGUUGUUCGGAAUCAUUGGGCGUAAAGCGCACGUAGGUGGCCUGUUAAGUCGGGUGUGAAAUCCCUGGGCUCAACCCAGGAAGUGCACUCGAAACUGGCAGGCUUGAGUACUGAAGAGGGUCGCGGAAUUCCCGGUGUAGAGGUGAAAUUCGUAGAUAUCGGGAGGAACACCAGUGGCGAAGGCGGCGACCUGGGCAGAUACUGACACUGAGGUGCGAAAGCGUGGGGAGCAAACAGG